CUUCCUAAUCUCGCGCGGUGAAGUGAAAGAAAGUGAUGAGAUUCGACGUAAUCGGUGUCGGCGGCGACUCGCGAGGGCAUCGCAACGAUUCCAGUAUUCUCGAAUUAUUAGUAUCUUCACCACGCGACUUAUAAGUAUCUCAUCGCACAAUUAAAAAUUUGGCCGUAUUGUCGACCCUCGCUUCGCAAGGGCAGAUGCCAUAGGUAUAGGAAAUUAAAAAAAAGAAAGAAGGCGUCCGGCUCGGCAGGCAUAUGCCGUUAUUAUCAUUGUUCCUAUCGCGACGAGCACUGGAGGAUUCUGUACGCGCUUCUGCCUACAAUUACUGCUCACAACUAACGAGCAAUCCACCCGCAGCAAGUUAUAACUGAUGAACGGUUCGCGGGAACGUAUAACGAGAAUACAUAUACGGUGGCUGCUUGUCGGAGCGAAUAAUAUUUCGUUGUACAGUCAAUCACCUUUCUCAUUACUCACGCUAUUCGAUCCACGGUUGUUAUGUUGUAUGGAUGCAACAAAGGAAUCUGUAAUAAGGAGAAGGCCAGGGAGGCAUCGGGCGAUGGCGCAGCAACCGUGGAGUAAUGAUAUAUUGCAAAAGAGCUGUACAACGACAACGAUACCGAACUGUCGUUAAAGAGUGGCAGAAUGUGACUUCUGACUUUGAUAGUGUUGUGUUGUGCGGGUGCAAAGAACAAAUCCUGUAUCAAGAUGGAGAAGGCCAGGGAGGCAUCGGGCAAUGACGGAGAAACCGUGGAGUAAUGAUAUAUAUUGCAAAAGAGCUGUACAACGAGAACGAUACCGAACUGUUAAAGAGUGACAGAAUGUGACUUUUGACUUUGAUGUACGUAUUUCACAUCUCUCGUUAUUUAUCGCGAUCAUAAUGUAAUGAAAUUCUCAUCGCGUAAUGACGCCGGGAAUGUCAACGAAAUAUUGUUCGAUCGUCAUGUUUCCAAACUUAGUGAACUAUCCUUUUUUUCGCGGAGUGUUGUGUUGUGCGGGUGCAAGGAACGAAUCCUGUAGCGAGGUGGAGAAGGCCAGGGAGGAGGCAUCGGAUGACGGCAGAGCAACCAUAAAAUCCUGCAAAACUUCAUCAAUGCCGUCAUUGGAUAUCUCCGAUACGCAGACGUUCGAAAAAAGAAAAUGAACGACUGACAAACGCUCCUCGAAUCGAUUCGAAUCAAUGGAGGGCAGACGGAGAGUCUGGACGUCUUCCUCGAACGAGCGAAAUUUCUCGGAUAAAAUCAAGCGUCGGGCAGUACAGCGAAAUAGCUCGGAUUCAAGUGCGCAAAACGUGAAUACCUCGCGGUGCGCCUUUUUGCCGCGUGAUUUCUUCGCCGGCGCGGACUAGCAAGGGAAGGCAGAGAAAGAGAGAGAGAGAGAGAGAGAGAGAGAGAGAGAGAGAGAGAGACCGGAUCACCGGCCAUAUUGGUUAACCGGCACGGCGGCGGCGGCCCCCGGCACGGGGAAGUCCGCGGUAGAAUGAACGCGGGAACGCGGGCGAGAGCUUGACCGCGAGAGAGGUGUACAGAUGGAAAGGAGAAAGAAGGAAUAGAUGGAGAAAGGGAGAGCACGUCGUGCAAAGAGAAGAGAUACGGAGCGACGGAGGAGAAGAAAGAGAGAACGGCGAGGAGGAGGACGGGGAAUAGUAACGCGCUGUGUGCCCGGACAACGCUCCCGCCGGGGCCAACUAACGGUCCAAACCACCACCACCACCACCGCCAUCGUCACAACACCACCAUCGUCGUUCGCCACCGUCACCACAUCGCCCGCGCGAACCUCGCUCUUCGAUAGUUCUCGUCAUCCUUCUCCUCCUCUUCUGCAUUUCUUCGCGCUUCGUUUUUCCUCCCCCUCCCUCCUCUUCCGUCGUCG